rnacentral:rRNA from 1 species
GACGAACGCUGGCGGCGUGCUUAACACAUGCAAGUCGAACGGAAAGGCCCCUUUGGGGGUACUCGAGUGGCGAACGGGUGAGUAACACGUGAGUAACCUGCCCUUGACUUCGGGAUAACUUCAGGAAACUGGGGCUAAUACCGGAUAGGAAUCCUUGCUGCAUGGUGGGGGUUGGAAAGCUUCGGCGGUUUUGGAUGGACUCGCGGCUUAUCAGCUUGUUGGUGGGGUAGUGGAUUACCAAGGCUUUGACGGGUAGCCGGCCUGAGAGGGCGACCGGCCACAUUGGGACUGAGAUACGGCCCAGACUCCUACGGGAGGCAGCAGUGGGGAAUAUUGCACAAUGGGCGGAAGCCUGAUGCAGCAACGCCGCGGGCGGGAUGACGGCCUUCGGGUUGUAAACCGCUUUCAGCAGGGGCGAAGCUUGUGGUGACGGUACCUGCAGAAGAAGCACCGGCUAACUACGUG